rnacentral:tRNA from 1 species
GCUCUUAUAGCUUAUAUUUAAGAGCAUGGCACUGAAGAUGCCAAGGAAACGUCAUUACGUUUAAGAGCA